AUACGGAGGGUGCAAGCGUUAUUCGGAAUCACUGGGCGUAAAGGGUGCGUAGGCGGUUUGAUAAGUCUGGUGUGAAAUCCUAUGGCUCAACCAUAGAACUGCAUUGGAAACUGUCAGACUAGAAUACUGAAGGGGCAGAUGGAAUUAGUGGUGUAGGGGUGAAAUCCGUAGAUAUCACUAGGAAUACCGAAAGCGAAAGCGAUCUGCUGGGAAGCUAUUGACGCUGAGGCACGAAAGCGUGGGGAGCAAACGGGAUUAGAAACCCUAGUAGUCC
rnacentral:rRNA from 1 species